UACUCAAGAAAAGGAUUUAAGUCCAGCCUAAAAUCUCUUCAGUUCUUAAAAACAUAACUUUGAUUUUAAAGUAAUUCAAAUAAGGUACAGCCUGUUUGAAAAAGGAUACAACCUAAACUAAUGGGUAAUAAUAUAAAUUUAUAAUUAAGUGGGCCUAAAAGCAGCCACCUUUAAAAUAGCGUCAAAGCUUCAUUAUAUUAUAUACAUAAUUCCUUUAAAAUUAUACAACCCUUUAAUUUUAUUGAGUAAUUCUAUAGUUUUAUAGAAAAUAUAAUGUUAAAACUAGUAACAAGAAGACGACCUUCUCUUUAAUGCAAGUGUAAAUCAGAAAGAACCUCUCACUGAUAAUUAACCCCCAUGAAAUUAUAUUAGUAACCUCGCAAGAAAACCCUAAUUAACCCUGAGUUAAUCUAACACAAGAGCAUUACAAGAAAGAUUAAAAGAAAAAGAAGGAACUCGGCAAACAUUAACCUCGCCUGUUUACCAAAAACAUCGCCUCUUGAAUUUCUAUAAGAGGUCCAGCCUGCCCAGUGACUUUGUUCAACGGCCGCGGUAUCCUAACCGUGCGAAGGUAGCGUAAUCACUUGUCUUUUAAAUGGGGACUUGUAUGAAUGGCAUCACGAGGGUUAUACUGUCUCCUUUUUCUAAUCAGUGAAACUAAUCUUCCCGUGAAGAAGCGGGAAUAAUUUUAUAAGACGAGAAGACCCUAUGGAGCUUUAAACUUAAUAACAAAUACUAACCCCAUUUUAACUUCCAGAACAUUAAUUUAAACUUUAGUACUAUGAUUAUUAGUUUUAGGUUGGGGUGACCGCGGAGUAAAAAUUAACCUCCACAUUGAACAGGACCUAUCCUUGAGCCAAGAGCUACAACCCUAAGCACCAACAAAUUGACAUUAAUUGACCCAAUAUUUUGAUCAACGAACCAAGUUACCCUAGGGAUAACAGCGCAAUCCACUUCAAGAGCUCCUAUCGACAAGUGGGUUUACGACCUCGAUGUUGGAUCAGGGUAUCCCAGUGGUGCAGCCGCUACUAAAGGUUCGUUUGUUCAACGAUUAAAACCC
rnacentral:rRNA from 1 species